UAUAAGGCUUUCUUCUCUCGUGUCGGAGACCUCCAGCAAGGGUCGGGUCUUUGCGGGGGCUGCUGUGCGGGAUGCCGAUGCGAUACGGACACCUGCCCUCUGGGAGUCGCGGUGGGGCUUCCUGUGCAGUUCAGCUGUCAAAGAACUUCCUGACACAUCUGUUAAAGGCCUCUCUGAAGGGUGACGCUUUUAAUGCAAGUUUCUACGAGGACAGGGCUGUGGGAAGAUGCUGAUGUUUGCUGCUGAAGUCCGUUGUUUCCCCAGCAUGGUUUUAGGGCUGCAGGGGAGAGACCUCCGAGGAGAUGGCUCCCAGACGUUGUAUUCCUCCUGAUCCUGCACAGAAACAACAAUGCUGAGUCUGUGACAGCAGUGGUACUCAUAGCUACAGUCAGUGACCUUUACCCAGCCGUGCCCGAGUGCCUCACCUUGCAAGGUCGGAGAGAUCCCUUUUACAAAUGGGAAGCUGAGAAACAGGUAAGGUCACUCGCCCGGGAUCACACGGGAAUGCUGUGGCAAAAAGGAGAAUCAAGACUGAGUCUCCUGAGUCCUAGGUCAGUGCCCAAAACCAAUACUUGCACUAUUACACCAUGUGAAAGCGACAUGUGAGAUCUUAAUGAAGGACAGAUCAUUUAAGAUGAUGCUAAAACUGUUGAAGUCGCAUGCUUAAAUCUAAGCAUUCCUAAGAGUUUUACUGAGCACAAGUGGAGAUAAGUAUGUUCAGUGCUCUCCUGAAACAAAAUCUGAAUGAGGAAAUGGCUAGUUGCGUGCAUAUGACUGCUGAUAGCAAAUGGCCUUCAUGCAGUUUCUGAAGGAACUGGAGGAACUUUCUAAUUAAAAAACAAACAAACAAACAAACACCCAAACAAACCCCAAAACAAAAAACAGAGGCUUAUUAGAGCAGGCCGGUAUCCUACACAGACCUAUUUUGCUGUGGCCAGAAGAUCAAGGAGUCUCAGUAUGGGCAACUGCAAAAUAAUUGGGGUAAUUUGGCUCCUGCUUACUAUUGAUCAGAAACUGCCUAAAUGCUAAAGUUCAAGGCUUCAUAUUCAUAUUUUACUUUUUUAAAUUUAUAAUGGAGGGGGUGUUUGUGUCUCACAGAGCAAUUUGACCGGAUUCACAGGAUCCUCUUAGGACUGAGCACAGAUCAACAAGGAGCAGAAGCACCAUCCAUGCUGACUGAGUUUCUUUCAGCUCCCCUGUCAAGACCCAGUGUGGCCUGAGGGCUUUCUCAUCUGCUGAAUGCAGUUUUAAUCCAAGAUCACAGUAUCUGGCAAGCUCAAGCACAUUCCCAUUAAAGCUGUUGCACACCUGUUUUGAUGAGACUUGUUAAUGCCUCAGUAUAGAAAGGCAACAUAAUGCUAUAGGUUUAAGAGUUGCAGACAUGACCAUUACUUGAAAAAUUAGCUUGGGAUUCUAACGCCCUUGUGCCCAAACCUUUUUCCACAAAAAAGGCAAAUGAGCACUUUUUAGCAUGCUGCAUCAUUUCACAGAUACGAAAUUACUGUUCUGUACCAGUCAGGACUAAGAUGCAGGUCAGUAAAAUAUCUCAGGGGGGACCAAAGGAAAAAAAAAAAAGCUGGUUUUGCAUGACAAGUCAUGUAGUUGCUUGUGAUAUUUUGUCAACAGGAGAGAAGGAUAUCACCUUGACAUCAUUUCUGGUUUGUACUUUCAGAGAAAUCUUGGAAUCUUUACUGUGAGGAAUUAAGUUUUGUAAACACAAGUUUGUUACCCCUCUUUUUUAAUAUCUAUGUGUGGACAUGAGUAUCAUCUAUGUGUUUUUUUGUCAUUAGUCCUCUUCCUGUCCAAUGGCUAGAAAACUACUGGGAAUCUUAGCAAGAUCCGGUGACAUCUCUAACUUUUGUGAAUUGAAAGCAUCCACACGUUUACCCUCAAAAAUAGCUCAAGACCUCAAAGGCUUCCUACGCUCUGCACUACAGCCUUCUAGGUCCUCCUGUUACAGUACUGAAUAACAACAUGAUUUCCUGCCCAUGAGUUGUCCUGAUGUCUCCAUUGCAGAUCUUGUCACAACUAUUUGCAUCUUUGCUGCAUUUGAACUGAAUGGCCUGGGACUAAGUUGGAAGUUUGCUCAGAAACUACUGCCAAUGUAGACGAGAGCUCCUAGAUGAGGCCAGCCACCGAUGGCUGCCCCUCUCCAGGCUACCUGCUGUGCUCAUUUCAAAGGGAUUAGCAUUGACUAGUCCUUAACUGCCAGGCUGUUGAGACUUCUUUGACUUCAGAAAUCACCUGGAGCAAAAUCUAUUCCAAGUGUGAAGUUGGUGUUCUUAAAACACUAAUUCUAGUCUCCUCUCAUUUCUAGUGGGUUAUAAGACACAUCCAUUUGUCUUGGCUUUUUAUGAACUCUGAUCAGGGUCAACCACUGGAUUCUGUGACAUUUAGCCUGGUGGGUGUGCUUUCAUGUCUUUCGAUCUCAAAUGAUGCUCAUGCUGCUGAGAGGACUGAAAUGGGGAUUUGGCCUUGGUAUAUUGUUCCCUCUUUCCAGUCAACAUCUUGUAAUGUAGCCAUCAAAAGUGUGUCCAGAUAUGCCUUUAUGAGUUACAGUUGUAGCACUGUAACUAAUCUUUGCAGUUCAUGCAAAUAGCAUUUUAAAUGGAUGGUGUAAAUAUAACUGUAAGGACUUCUCUAAAGUGAAUGCUGCCCUAUCAAUAUGGUAUGCAAGCCCCUUCCACUGUACCGCGUGCCUGAGAGGGACCUUUCCAAGAGCUAACAUCUUACACAGAUGGUUAGUCCUACUACAACAGACAUAGCCUAGGAAAGAGGGGGGCUGGAACCAGAGUGUGUUGGCUGGGAACAAAAAACUUGUGAAAAGUGUUUUAAAGCUAUCUUGCAUCUAGCUCAAUUAUUCACCCCCAAAGAACUGGGCUCCUCCCAUCAGCUGAUUUCCAUUCAGAUGGCAUACAUCAGCUUAGCUCUCUGAUGGGGCAUUACCAGGGGUCCCAAGGAAGAGACAGGGGUUUGUACCAGAUGCUUUAAUCAGAAAGUGAGGGGAGCCCAUAGCAAAUCUGGAAAAUCAAUUUCCUUAUGUAUUCAUCAAGUUUUAAUGUGGGAAAAAUGUUAUGGUGAAUGCUAAGUCCUUGGAAAUAGGCCUUUACAAUAAAAAUAACGAAACAGACCUUUCCUUAUAAUGCUAAAAGCUCCCUCCAUUUUUCCUCCUCCCCAUUUCGCUUGCUCUCAGCUGGAGGUUAACAUCUGCUUACUUUUGACCUCUUUGUGGUAAGUGUGUGUUUCAACAGCGUCUGGGAGCUGACUGUCAAAGCAGAAUUUCUGGAUUGAAUCAGCAGGACACCGAAAAGCCUCAGGUCCACCUCGGCGAGCGGUACAGCCCUGCCGACUGCCCUCCUUAGCACAUGUUUUGACACAGAACAAAUCUGCUGAUGCAAGCUGAAUUCUGACAUGAGAAAGACUGUAAGGGGCUAAGAUAUUAAAGGAAAAACUGUCUGAGUUCAUACAUUCCUAACAGCUAUGGGAUUCUCUCUUGCUUCUUUUUAGUUUUCCAUUAAAAGAUGGAUUUAUAUUAACAUAGUCUUUCUGUUAAGACCCUUUCAAAAUAGAUAUAGUCAAAAUGUG